AUUGAACGCUGGCGGCAUGCUUUACACAUGCAAGUCGAACGGCAGCACGGGAGCAAUCCUGGUGGCGAGUGGCGAACGGGUGAGUAAUAUAUCGGAACGUGCCCAGUCGUGGGGGAUAACGUAGCGAAAGCUACGCUAAUACCGCAUACGAUCUACGGAUGAAAGCGGGGGAUCGCAAGACCUCGCGCGAUUGGAGCGGCCGAUAUCAGAUUAGCUAGUUGGUGGGGUAAAAGCUCACCAAGGCGACGAUCUGUAGCUGGUCUGAGAGGACGACCAGCCACACUGGAACUGAGAUACGGCCCAGACUCCUACGGGAGGCAGCAGUGGGGAAUUUUGGACAAUGGGCGCAAGCCUGAUCCAGCCAUGCCGCGUGCGGGAAGAAGGCCUUCGGGUUGUAAACCGCUUUUGUCAGGGAAGAAAUCUUCUGGGUUAAUACCUCGGGAGGAUGACGGUACCUGAAGAAUAAGCACCGGCUAACUACGUG
rnacentral:rRNA from 1 species